GCCUAACACAUGCAAGUCGAACGGUAACAGGAAGAAGCUUGCUUCUUUGCUGACGAGUGGCGGACGGGUGAGUAAUGUCUGGGAAACUGCCUGAUGGAGGGGGAUAACUACUGGAAACGGUAGCUAAUACCGCAUAACGUCGCAAGACCAAAGAGGGGGACCUUCGGGCCUCUUGCCAUCGGAUGUGCCCAGAUGGGAUUAGCUAGUAGGUGGGGUAACGGCUCACCUAGGCGACGAUCCCUAGCUGGUCUGAGAGGAUGACCAGCCACACUGGAACUGAGACACGGUCCAGACUCCUACGGGAGGCAGCAGUGGGGAAUAUUGCACAAUGGGCGCAAGCCUGAUGCAGCCAUGCCGCGUGUAUGAAGAAGGCCUUCGGGUUGUAAAGUACUUUCAGCGGGGAGGAAGGGAGUAAAGUUAAUACCUUUGCUCAUUGACGUUACCCGCAGAAGAAGCACCGGCUAACUCCGUGCCAGCAGCCGCGGUAAUACGGAGGGUGCAAGCGUUAAUCGGAAUUACUGGGCGUAAAGCGCACGCAGGCGGAUGGUAAAGUCAGAUGUGAAAUCCC
rnacentral:rRNA from 1 species